rnacentral:tRNA from 1 species
GUCAGGAUGUCCGAGCGGUCUAUGGCGCUGCGUUCAGGUCGCAGUCCACCCUUGUGGGCGUGGGUUCGAAUCCCACUUCUAACA